AGAUGUGGCCUAGUUGUUAGGAAUUUGAGACGUGUUCUGUGGGAGUGGGGAUAAUAAAUGUUCUGUGCGUUCCUUUUUAAACAUUCUAUUUGGCUACUGGUUAAUUUUCACUAGACGUCAUUUGAACGGUUCAGUACAGUGUAUUUUACAUGUUACUUUUUUUCAGUUUUUAUUUUCUGUCAGAUAAUGUUUUCAUAUCUUAAGGUGCAGUUCCUAUCCGCGCCCUACAGCAGGCCCUACAGUGUGCAAAAAUAUGACCUAUCAACACUAAACUGUUAUUGAACAUAAGACUUCAUGGUAUUAAAAGACUCUUCCCUUAAGGAAAUUGUGUAGCUGUUGACUUUCUUUAGAGGACUCUUGUAUCAUAAAUAUUUUCCUGCUUCUUGAAACAAAGAAUAUAGGAUGUCUUGAUGCCAACUAAGAGUCAUUGGAAAGGCUGUAAAAAGAUGUUUAAGCAGGAAAAACCUGAAGUUGGAGGAUGAUACAUUUGUUUCUUGUUACUAGUUCUGUAAAACAAAUGGUAAAUUGGUAAAAUGAAACAACACAUGACCUAUUACUUAAGAUCAAUUUUUCCCACAAGUGGAGAUUUAUUCCACAAUCUUCAGCUUUCCAAGCAGACACCCAUCCACAGAGCCAUGAGUGAUAGAUGAUAUUCACAGUGGGCAUGACUGUGUUGUAAAUGGGUAUCAUUUUUACAAAACCAAACAGCAGGUUUAGAUAAUGUGUGUAACUGUGAAAGAGAUCAUGUGUCUCAACGGAAAUGGCUCUCACCGUUUGUGACAUCAGACCUCCCCAGUGUGUCAUUCUGAUGCAGAGCUCUUGAAAUGAAGUUGAAAGGUUUAACCAUCUCAGGCCAAAGCUCAAGUUUUAGCUCUGUCGGUUUCUGCCUGUAAACCCAUGAUUACAACUAAUUGAAAUGCAAUUUAUUGUCUUGUUUGCAGAGGUAUUAGAAAAAUGGUCGCUUUUUGGUUAGAAUUUCUUCGCCGUCCGGUGCAUUAAUUUGAAUGAUGUUCACUUCCUCAACGUCAUUGCUCACGAAAACUUUGAUGCAUUAUUCUUAUCUCGAGCUUACAUCGACCUUCAAAGAUCAAAUCCACGAGGUAUUGCGCCUCGUCCGACAACUUACAAUCCAGCAACGCAUCCAUCAACAGAAUGUAUUAAAGAGGAAAGUAAUGACCAAAUGCCGACUGGAUGAUUUCCAUGCAAGAUGAAUGUUAAAAUCCAAGGAGAUCUGGAGAACCAUUAGCUGAAUACAAUGAAUACUAUCAGUUCUCCAGAACAAGAGGCCAACAUAGGUUAAUAAUCAUACUGGAUCAAAAUAGGUACAUUCUUGAACGAGAUUUUAAAACGACAACAGCUGGAAGGGCAUGCGGAAAUUUAAAAGGACGCUACCUGCACGUUACCUUCAGUCGCUGAUUCAUCUCGAAGAUAAAAUAUAAAAAUUUUUAUAAAUUGAAGUGCAUAUCUGGGCUCCCUUCUUUUCUGUGGCCCCGUUUCCCCUUGACUUGUGAUAAGCCCGUAGGGGGUCAUGCCCCUACUGUGA